rnacentral:rRNA from 1 species
UCGGGAAUUUUGGGCAAUGGGCGAAAGCCUGACCCAGCAACGCCGCGUGAAGGAUGAAGUUUUUCGGAAUGUAAACUUCAUAAGAAUAGGAAGAAUAAAUGACGGUACUAUUUGUAAGGUCCGGCUAACUACGUGCCAGCAGCCGCGGUAAUACGUAGGGACCAAGCGUUGUUCGGAUUUACUGGGCGUAAAGGGCGCGUAGGCGGCAAUUCAAGUCAGCUGUGAAAUCUCCGGGCUUAACUCGGAACGGUCAGCUGAUACUGCUUUGCUAGAGUGCAGAAGGGGCAAUCGGAAUUCUUGGUGUAGCGGUGAAAUGCGUAGAUAUCAAGAGGAACACCUGAGGUGAAGACGGGUUGCUGGGCUGACACUGACGCUGAGGCGCGAAAGCUAGGGUAGCAAACGGGAUUAGAUACCCCGGUAGUCCUAGCCCUAAACGAUGAAUACUUGGUGUCUGGAGUUUUUAUCCUCCGGGUGCCGUCGCUAACGUUUUAAGUAUUCCGCCUGGGGA